rnacentral:rRNA from 1 species
GACGAACGCUGGCGGCGUGCUUAACACAUGCAAGUCGAACGGAAAGGCCCUGCUUUUGUGGGGUGCUCGAGUGGCGAACGGGUGAGUAACACGUGAGUAACCUGCCCUUGACUUUGGGAUAACUUCAGGAAACUGGGGCUAAUACCGGAUAGGAGCUCCUGCUGCAUGGUGGGGGUUGGAAAGUUUCGGCGGCUGGGGAUGGACUCGCGGCUUAUCAGCUUGUUGGUGGGGUAGUGGCUUACCAAGGCUUUGACGGGUAGCCGGCCAGAGAGGGUGACCGGCCACAUUGGGACUGAGAUACGGCCCAGACUCCUACGGGAGGCAGCAGUGGGGAAUAUUGCACAAUGGGCGGAAGCCUGAUGCAGCAACGCCGCGUGCGGGAUGACGGCCUUCGGGUUGUAAACCGCUUUCGCCUGUGACGAAGCGUGAGUGACGGUAAUGGGUAAAGAAGCACCGGCUAACUACGU